rnacentral:rRNA from 1 species
GAUCAUGGCUCAGGAUGAACGCUGGCGGCGUGCUUAACACAUGCAAGUCGAACGGACUUUAUAUGAAGCCUAGCGAUUAUAAAGUUAGUGGCGGACGGGUGAGUAACGCGUGAAUAACCUGCCCUGUACCGGGGGACGAACAGUUGGAAACGACUGCUAAUACCGCAUAAGCGCACGGUUCCGCAUGGAACAGUGUGAAAAACUACCGGUGGUACAGGAUGGAUUCGCGUCUGAUUAGCCAGUUGGUUGGGGG